rnacentral:lncRNA from 1 species
AUGCCCAGUAAUUCCUAUCAGAGAGGUGGGCUCCAGUUGCCGGCUGCGGGAUCGCGGGGUCCGCAGCGGCCUGGGCUCCCGCCGCGACUCCACGGCAGCUCCUCCCGGGUCCUGACCGCGACUCCGAAGCCGGCAGGGAGCCCAGAAGGAGCCCGGGGCGCGGAGCCCCCCACCGCGGCUCACACUCCUGCGGGGAGCCGCCGCCGGCUCUGCCCGGGCGACCGCGGCCGCGCGCUUCCACCCGGUCCUUCCAGCAACAUGAGCCCGAACCUGCCGCCCAGAGUGCGCGCAGCCCGGCAGUGCCUGAUGGAUUCCAGCCGCCGCCGCCGCCGCCGGGGCCGACCGCCCGCAGCUCGGCAGCCUCCGGUUCCGGAGCACAAGGAGGAACCAGAGAAAGCCACUCUAAGUGCAGAGGACUU